rnacentral:tRNA from 2 species
GGGGAUAUGGCGAAAUCGGUAGACGCUACGGACUUGAAAAUCCGUUGGUUUACAAAACUGUGAGGGUUCAAGUCCCUCUAUCCCCAA